UACUAGAGUAGCACUCGCAUAUCAAUAAGCGGAGGAAAAGAAACUAACGAGGAUUCCCCUAGUAACGGCGAGUGAAGCGGGAAGAGCUCAAAUUUGAAAUCUUAAAGGGUUUCCCUUUACGAAUUGUAGUUUAAAGAAGUGUUUUCUGUUGAGGUUUUGGUAAAAGUUCUUUGGAAUAGGACAUCAUAGAGGGUGAGAAUCCCGUAUUUGACCUUUACUUUCAACUUUGUGAUACACUUUCAAAGAGUCGGAUUGUUUGGGAAUGCAGUCCAAAAUGGGUGGUAAAUUUCAUCUAAAGCUAAAUAUUGGCGAGAGACCGAUAGCGAACAAGUACCGUGAGGGAAAGAUGAAAAGAACUUUGAAAAGAGAGUUAAACAGUACGUGAAAUUGUCAAAAGGGAAGCGUUUGACACCAGUGUUGUUUUUCUGAAAAUCAAUUAAAGAACUGUUUAUGCUAAGCUGUUUAGACUUUAUCAGCUAUCUGUUUAGUUUUGAGCUUUUCUUUAAUGCACUUUUCAGUUAACAAGUCAACAUCAAUUUCUUUUGCUGUAAAAAAGCUUGAGGAAGGUGGCUUGAGAUUCGUCUUAAGUGUUUAUAGCCUCUUGCCUAUGCAGUCGGAGAGAUUGAGGUCUGCAGCGUAGAUCCUUCGGGGCUAAAUGCAUUUGUGCUAAGUUAUAGCAUUUUAUAGACAACUUGUUGACUAUGAUUUGUCUUGUAGCUUACUCGCUUAUGUUAUUUUACCUACGCUUAGGAUGUUGAACUACUGAGACAUAGA
rnacentral:rRNA from 1 species